CCUACGGGAGGCAGCAGUGAGGAAUAUUGGUCAAUGGGCGCGAGCCUGAACCAGCCAAGUAGCGUGAAGGAUGACUGCCCUACGGGUUGUAAACUUCUUUUAUAAAGGAAUAAAGUGAGGCACGUGUGCCUUUUUGUAUGUACUUUAUGAAUAAGGAUCGGCUAACGCCGUGCCAUCAGCCGCGGUAAUACGGAGGAUCCGAGCGUUAUCCGGAUUUAUUGGGUUUAACGGGAGCGUAGAUGGGGUGGUAAGUCAGUUGUGAAAGUUUGCGGCUCAACCGUAAAAUCGCAAUUGAUAAUGGCAGUCUUGAGUACAGUUGAGGUAGGCGGAAUUCGAGGUGUAGCGGUGAAAUGCGUAGAUAUCACGAAGAACUCCGAUUGCGAAGGCAGCUUACUAAACUGCCACUGACAUUGAUGCUCGAAAGUGUGGGUAUCAAACAGGAUUAGAUACCCCAGUAGUC
rnacentral:rRNA from 1 species